AUGAUUCCAACUCAGAGACCUACAGUGACUAACAUUGAUCGGGUGUCAGAUCUUAUAGACACACGAAACUGGUCUUGGAAGAUUGAUGUGAUCAGAGACAAUUUUACUGCUCAGGAUGCCACGGCCAUACUAAAUAUCCCAAUUAGGCAAGGCGGGGGCGAUGAUUUUCUUGCAUGGGCAUUUGACAAAUCAGGUAACUACACUGUUAAAACGGCGUACCGCGCUCUCGUGACUCAUAACGAGCCUUUGGCUCUAGAGGAAGGGACGGCUACCGAAGCCUCAUUGGACGAUCAACAGUUGUGGAAAUCCUUAUGGAAGUUAAAUGUUAUACCAAAAGUGAGAGUGUUC
rnacentral:rRNA from 1 species